rnacentral:rRNA from 1 species
AAUCUGCCCUCAGGAGGGGGACAACAGCUGGAAACGGCUGCUAAUACCCCAUAUGCCGCGAGGUGAAAUGAAUUUCGCCUGAGGAUGAGCUCGCGUCUGAUUAGCUAGUUGGUGUAGGUAAUGGCUCACCAAGGCAUCGAUCGGUAGCUGGUCUGAGAGGAUGAUCAGCCACACUGGGACUGAGACACGGCCCAGACUCCUACGGGAGGCAGCAGUGGGGAAUUUUCCGCAAUGGGCGAAAGCCUGACGGAGCAACGCCGCGUGAGGGAUGAAGGCCUCUGGGCUGUAAACCUCUUUUAUCAAGGAAGAAGAUCUGACGGUACUUGAUGAAUAAGCCACGGCUAAUUCCGUGCCAGCAGCCGCGGUAAUACGGGAGUGGCAAGCGU